rnacentral:rRNA from 1 species
CGGGGGGAGCAAGCGUUGUUCGGAUUUACUGGGCGUAAAGGGCGGGUAGGCGGCCACCGCAAGUCGACUGUGAAAUCUCCGGGCUUAACCCGGAAAGGUCAGCCGAUACUGCGGGGCUAGAGUGCAGAAGGGGCAACUGGAGUUCUCGGUGUAGCGGUGAAAUGCGUAGAUAUCGAGAGGAACACCUGCGGCGAAGGCGGGUUGCUGGGCUGACACUGACGCUGAACUGCGAAAGCUAGGGGAGCGAACGGGAUUAGAUACCCCGGUAGUCCUAGCCUUAAACGAUGAAUGCUUGGUGUCUGGGGUUUUAUAGUCCCCGGGUGCCGUCGCUAACGCUUUAAGCAUUCCGCCUGGGGAGUACGGUCGCAAGACUG